rnacentral:rRNA from 1 species
GUAAGGAAUAUUGGUCAAUGGACGAAAGUCUGAACCAGCCAUGCCGCGUGGAGGAUGAAGGUCCUCUGGAUUGUAAACUUCUUUUAUAUGGGACGAAAAUGGGGCUUUCUAGCUCAACUGACGGUACCAUAUGAAUAAGCACCGGCUAACUCCGUGCCAGCAGCCGCGGUAAUACGGAGGGUGCAAGCGUUAUCCGGAUUCACUGGGUUUAACGGGUGCGUAGGUGGAUUGGUAAGUCAGAGGUGAAAUCUCCGGGCUCAACUCGGAAACUGCCUUUGAUACUAUCAAUCUUGAAUAUUGUGGAGGUUAGCGGAAUAUGUCAUGUAGCGGUGAAAUGCUUAGAUAUGACAUAGAACACCAAUUGCGAAGGCAGCUGGCUACACAUAUAUUGACACUGAGGCACGAAAGCGUGGGGAUCAAACAGGAUUAGAAACCCCAGUAGUCC